CUUUCAUGCAAGAGUCGUAUGAUGCACCUUAAAACUGUUAGUGGUUUCUGACAGGAAUGUUUUUCUUAAUGCAUAUCCCUCCCUUUCUUUUGAUAUUUCAAGCUCCAAAGUGCGCAGAUGCGGAACCAUGUGAAAACGGCGGCACCUGUAAGGCUGACACCACUGGCCAGCAUAUCUGUUUCUGUGCUCCAGGCUUUGGAGGGGACCUGUGUGCUAACGCCUCAGGUGCUGCUACGAUAUCGGGGCACUUCCUUCUGCUCACAGUUGUUGCUGUCCUCGCAAAGCUUAACCUCAACUGAACACAACCGGACCGGAAGAGUUUGUAGUAGUAGAUAUAGAUUGUAUUGAAUGUAAUGACUGAUUAUUUGUGUUAAUUAGACAAGUGCUUAAUGUGGUCACAGUAAUAUCAUCCAAUAUUUUUAACAGUAGAUCUAGUGUACAGAAAUUACUGAUGGUUUUCCUGAUGACAUUUACCAAAAGUAUUAUCCUGAUCAGAAAUUUGAACAGCGGA